GAUGAAGAACGUAGCGAAAUGCGAUAAGUAAUGUGAAUUGCAGAAUUCAGUGAAUCAUCGAAUCUUUGAACGCACCUUCACUCCUUGGUAUUCCGAGGAGUACGCCUGUUCGAGUGUUAUGAAGCUCUCAAAACGCAAUUGGCUUAAAACCUGAUUGUUGUUUUGGAUUUGAACUUUGCCGUGUUAUAACGGCUGGUUUUAAAAGUAUUAGCUGGUUCUAGAACGAAUUGGUUCUACUCAACGUGAUAAUUAUCUGAUCGUUGAGGACAUUCCUUUCACGAGGAAUGGCCAUAGUAAAUUCAAUGGACUGCUUCUAAUCUGGCUUUAAUUCUUUAUUGGAUUAACCACUUUUCAAAUCUGACCUCGAAUCAGGUGGGACUACCCGCUGAACUUAAGCAUAUCAAUAAGCGGAGGA
rnacentral:misc_RNA from 1 species